rnacentral:tRNA from 1 species
GAGGGUAAAGUAUUUUUAGUAUAUCUCAGUUACAUUGAGAAGGACCAAGUAUCUGGUACUCUUU